AUCUUCCAGGACCUUUUGGGGCCUUUUGGGGGACUUUUGGGGGGCCUUCUGGGGCCUUUCAUGGGGCCUUUUGGGGCCUUUUGGGGGGCUUUUGGGGCCUUUUGGGGGGCUUUUGGGGCCUUCAUGGGGGCUUCUGGGGCCUUUCUGGGGGGCUUUUUGGGGAUCUUCCAGGACCUUUUGGGGCCUUUUGGGGGGCUUUUGGGGCCUUCAUGGGGGACAAGUGAGUGCUGUGAGCUGCCGGGACCUGCGCGGGGCUUUGGGGCCUUUUGGGGGGCUGCAGGGGGGCUGCUGGGGCCUUUUGGGGGGCUGCUGGGGUCUUUUGGGGGGCUUUUGGGGCCUUUUGGGGGGCUGCAGGGGGGCUUUUUGGGACCUAUUGGGGGGCUUUUUGGGGAUCUUCCAGGACCUUUUGGGGCCUUAUUGGGGGACAAGUGAGUGCUGUGAGCUGCCAGGACCUGGGGGGGGCUUUUGGGGGCCUUUUGGGGGGCUUAUCGGGGCCUUUUGGGGGCCUUUUGGGGGGGCUUUUGGGGGGCUAUCAGGGCCUUUUGGGGGCCUUUUGGGGGGCUUUUGGGGGGCUGCUUGGGGCCUUUUGGGGGGCUAUCGGGGCCUUUUGGGGGGCUUCUGGGGCCUUUUGGGGGGCUUCUGGGGGGCUUUUGGGGGGCUUUUGGGGGGCUUCUGGGGCCUUAAUGGGGGACAAGUGAGUGCUGCGAGCUGCCGGGACCUGCCGGGCCUUUUGGGGGCUUCAUGGGGGCCUUUUUGGGGGGCUAUCAGGGCCUUUUGGGGGGCUGCUGGGGCCUUUUGGGGGCUAUCAGGGCCUUUUGGGGGCUGCUGGGGCCUUUUGGGGGCCUUUUGGGGGGCUGCUGGGGACUUUUGGGGGGCUGCUGGGGCCUUUUGGGGGGCUUUUGGGGCCUUAAUGGGGGCUGCUGGGGCCUUUUGGGGGGCUUUUGGGGCCUUAAUGGGGGCUUCUGGGGCCUUUUGGGGGGCUGCAGGGGGGCUGCAGGGGGGCUUCUGAGGGCCUUUUGGGGGCUUCUGGGGCCUUUGGGGGGCUAUCAGGGCCUUUAGGGGGGCUAUCGGGGCCUUUGGGGGGCUUUUGGGGGCUUUUUGGGGGGCUUAUUGGGCCUUUUGGGGGGCUUCUGGGGCCUUUUGGGGGCCUUUUGGGGGGGCUGCCAGGGGGGGCUUUUGGGGCCUUUUGGGGGGGGGCUUCUGGGGGCCUUUU
rnacentral:lncRNA from 7 species